AAAAUACCUCCCGGGGCUGGGGGCGGGCGGGGGCACGCCUCUCUGAAGGGCAGCCUACCGUGACCAAUAGCAGGCGGGGCUUUGGUGGGGCGGGAUUCCCAGCGGCCAAUCCGGAGGCGUGUAGGUGAAGGCCGGAGGAGGGAGGCAGAGAACGAGAAGGGGGCGGCCCGGGAGCCUGGGAGGUCCGGCCGCUCGGGUGCGCGCUGUGCGCGGCCUCCAUUUUGGAGUCGGGCAGCUGCGACGGAGGCCGGGUCCGGCCAGGGAAAGGAAGGAGCCAGUCAGCCAAUUUUGAACUCAGAGCCUUCUGAGACAAGUUCAGCUCAUUAAAAGCAACUGAAAUGAAGCAAAGUGACUCRGCUCAACCUGCAUUGGAUUAGAUGGCUCCAUAUGAAGUAGCCUAUUAUCAGCCAUGUUUGGCUUCCAGAGAGGAUAAUCAUAGUGGAAACUGCAUUGCUGUCAGCAUGGUUUGGUGGAAAGAACAUGGAGAUCAGAUUCUGGAGUUCUGAAUUCAAAUCUCAACAGCACAAAACUGUGGGAAAGCCAUUUUCCCUCCCCGUAUCUUACUUUCUGAUUCAAUAAUAUUAAACUUGCAUAGUAUGUAAGGUGCAUGAAACAGCUUCUGCCUUCUUUGGGCUCACAGUUUACUUGAUAUAAAAGUCAUCUGGAAAACACUACUAUUCAAGGCAGAGCAUGAGGGUGCCACAGUUGCCUUUUUCUUUUUUAUUAAAUGGCAUUCUUUUUUUUUUUUUAAAGAGAGAGUGAGAAAGAGGGAGAGAAUUUUAAUAUUUAUUUUUUAGUAUUUGGCGGACACAACAUCUUUGUUUGUAUGUGGUGCUGAGGAUUGAACCCGGGCCGCACACAUGCCAGGCGAGCAUGCUACCGCUUGAGCCAUAUCCCCAGCCCUUAAACGGCAUUCUGAGCAAGAGAAAUUACUGCCUGUUGCAAUAAUCCAGAAGGCAAUAUACAAGAGAGGACAGUUGAGCUUGGGAUUAAAGAAUGAUUAAAUUUCAUUAAGCAGAGAAUUGGGGGAGGGCAGUUCAGCAGUUUAAGCAAGUAACAGGGUAGGAGCAAAGGUGCAGAGCUGGAAAACACAAUGCUAUUUUGGUAUGGUUGGACAGAUGGCUCAUGUGGGCGGCUGUGGGAGAUAAGACUAGAAGCCUGAUUUCCCAUGGCAUGUAGUAGGCAUUUUAAAGUUUAGUUUCU
rnacentral:lncRNA from 1 species